UACGUAGGCAGCAAGCGUUGUUCGGAAUUACUGGGCGUAAAGAGUGUGUAGGCGGUGCUACAAGUCUUCCGUUAAAUCCACCUGCUUAACAGAUGGGCUGCGGAAGAUACUAUGGAGCUAGGAGGCGGGAGAGGCAAGCGGUACUCGAUGGGUAGGGGUAAAAUCCGUUGAUCCAUUGAAGACCACCAGUGGCGAAGGCGGCUUGCCAGAACGCGCUCGACGGUGAGGGAUGAAAGCUGGGGGAGCAAACCGG
rnacentral:rRNA from 1 species